rnacentral:rRNA from 1 species
CGCAAGCCUGAUGCAGCCAUGCCGCGUGUAUGAAGAGCCUUCGGGUUGUAAAGUACUUUCAGCAGUGAGGAAGGUGGAUAUGUUAAUAGCAUAUUCAUUUGACGUUAGCUGCAGAAGAAGCACCGGCUAACUCCGUGCCAGCAGCCGCGGUAAUACGGAGGGUGCGAGCGUUAAUCGGAAUUACUGGGCGUAAAGCGCAUGCAGGUGGUUUGUUAAGUCAGAUGUGAAAGCCCGGGGCUCAACCUCGGAAUUGCAUUUGAAACUGGCAAACUAGAGUACUGUAGAGGGGGUAGAAUUUCAGGUGUAGCGGUGAAAUGCGUAGAGAUCUGAAGGAAUACCGGUGGCGAAGGCGGCCCCCUGGACAGAUACUGACACUCAGAUGCGAAAGCGUGGGGACGCAAACAGGAUUAGAUACCCUGGUAG